AUCAGCCAUUUUAUUCCUCCUCAGAAGCCUCUUUUAUCUAUUGGGGGGGGAAAAAGACACAGAUGAUGUGGCAUGUUCUUAAAUCCAUCUCCAUUCAUUUUUCCUGUCUCCCAGUCAGAUACAGAGUUUUGGGAUAAGAUGCAAGCAGAAUGGGAAGAAAUGGCUCGGAGGAACUGGAUAUCUGAGAACCAAGAAGCCCAGAACCAAGUAACCAUCUCGGCUAGUGAGAAGGGAUAUUACUUUCACACUGAAAACCCCUUCAAGGACUGGCCUGGAGCAUUUGAAGAAGGCUUAAAAAGGCUGAAGGAAGGGGAUCUGCCAGUCACCAUCCUGUUCAUGGAAGCAGCAAUUCUUCAGGACCCUGGAGAUGCAGAGGCAUGGCAGUUCCUCGGGAUAACCCAGGCGGAGAAUGAAAAUGAACAAGCAGCUAUUGUCGCCCUCCAGAGGUGCUUAGAAUUACAGCCCAACAACUUAAAAGCUUUGAUGGCCUUGGCUGUGAGUUAUACUAACACUGGCCAUCAGCAGGAUGCCUGUGACGCUCU
rnacentral:sRNA from 1 species